ACCUGGCUGGCUCAGUCAGUAGAGCAUGCGACUUUCAGUCUCAGGGUUAUGAGUUCAAGCCUCAUGUUGGGUG
rnacentral:tRNA from 1 species